ACAUUUAUAUGAGACGGCUCAAACAAUAAUCUUUGCCCUUUAUAUUAAACUAGAUUAGUUUAACGUGUGAAAUGUCCGUAAAGUAUCAUCAUAUGAUUGGUUUUAGGGCACAUUUCCAACAGACAUCGUUGAACACUAAGGAUUGGGCAAGGACGUUGAGGUCAUUUUGAACUCCCGGAACCCCGAAAAAGGCGUGCCAAAUCCAUGUAUCAAAAGAUGCCACCGCCUCCAAAAUGAUACCUUUUGAUCCUUUUCU
rnacentral:lncRNA from 1 species